rnacentral:tRNA from 1 species
GGUUCUCUAGCUCAGUUGGUUAGAGCAUCCGGCUCAUAACCGGACGGUCCUGGGUUCAAAUCCCAGGGGAACCA